rnacentral:rRNA from 1 species
ACUCCUACGGGAGGCAGCAGUGGGGAAUAUUGCACAAUGGGGGAAACCCUGAUGCAGCCAUGCCGCGUGCGUGAAGAAGGCCUUCGGGUUGUAAAGCACUUUCAGCGAGGAGGAAAGGUUGGCGCCUAAUACGUGUCAACUGUGACGUUACUCGCAGAAGAAGCACCGGCUAACUCCGUGCCAGCAGCCGCGGUAAUACGGAGGGUGCAAGCGUUAAUCGGAAUUACUGGGCGUAAAGCGCACGCAGGCGGUUGGAUAAGUUAGAUGUGAAAGCCCCGGGCUCAACCUGGGAAUUGCAUUUAAAACUGUCCAGCUAGAGUCUUGUAGAGGGGGGUAGAAUUCCAGGUGUAGCGGUGAAAUGCGUAGAGAUCUGGAGGAAUACCGGUGGCGAAGGCGGCCCCCUGGACAAA